rnacentral:rRNA from 1 species
CGGAGGAAAAGAAACUAACAAGGAUUCCCCCAGUAACGGCGAGUGAAGCGGAAGAGCUCAAGCUUAAAAUCUCCAUGUUUACAUGGCGAAUUGUAGUCUAUUGAGGCUGUUGUCAGCAUAGCGAUCUGGGAAAAGUCCCUUGGAAAAGGGCAGCAUAGAGGGUGAUACUCCCGUCUUUGCUCAGAUUGUCUGUGUGUACGAUACGCUUUCUUUGAGUCGAGUUGUUUGGGAAUACAGCUCAAAGUAGGUGGUAAAUUCCAUCUAAAGCUAAAUAUUGGUGCGAGACCGAUAGCGAACAAGUACCGUGAGGGAAAGAUGAAAAGAACUUUGAAAAGAGAGUUAAAGAGUACCUGAACUGUUGAAAGGGAACCGUAUCGUUUCCAGUGUUGUAUCCUAUGCAUAUUUCAUUGGCGGAGUAAUUUGCUGGUGCCCUGUGCAUGGGUGUGACGUCAGAGUCAGUUUGUAUGCUGCGGGAGAUGGUUAGUGAGGAGGUGCGUCACUUCGGUGAAAGUUAUACCUUGCUAUCUAGUUGCCGUGGUUGAGACUGAGGUGCCUACAACAUGCCCUGGGGUUCAGUGCUGCCUCGUUUUGGUGACUGCUUGGAUAGCUUGCUAUGUCUGUGGUUAAUCAGGGCGAUUGGUGGUGCUGAAAACCUCUGCUGUUCGGGACUCUGGCG